rnacentral:lncRNA from 1 species
CGUAGAUAGAGGAUAUCAACAAAUCGUAAUAUUCAUUAUUUCGCGCGCCAUAGGAAAGACAUUAUAAAUUUUGAAAACUUCCCUGCUAUACGAUUGCGAUCUAAUGUGCUGAAGAAUCGAAUGCAAACAGUGAGCUAGGUAUAUAGCUGCCAGCAAAUAUCUAGACAAGAGUUUGCUCUUUGGGACUUUUUAUCGAACAAUUUAUCUACGUUUAGGGCCUCCAUUUUGGUUAACCAAUUUUGUAUUCUAAACCUCCACGCAUACUGUAGCUACCCCUCAGGUAACCCAUCAUUGAGUUUGAUCUACGAGCACUGCCGGUCCAAGGCUAAAGGAAGCGUUGAGCAACGGUAGUGACUUGACUCAGCGAACAUUUAGUCAGCGAGAUUCGGCUCAGAUGCAUUGGUUUUCGAGACUCAGCUCGGCGGACAUUGGGUCGCGAGACUCAGCUCGGAGGACAUUGGAUCGGCGAGUUUCAGCUCGGCAGGCGUUCAGUAGGCGAGCAUAGGUUUGGCGAGGGAUGGCUCAGCAGAUCCAGGUUUUGCGAGAUUCGAUCUCGUCAGAUGAGGUCGGCGAGACUUAGCUCGGUGGACAUGGAUCGACGAACACUGAGACGGGGUUGACUGAUGCUUCUCCCAUUUCUUCUCCCACCUCGGAUUCGUCAAGCUCUUGACUCAUUUGGACUCGUUUCAUGCCUCGUGAAUCUACUCUGAUUUAAUUUCUUUUUCUCUUUAGAUUGUGGUCGACGUUAGAGAAAUAUUUAUUUCUACAUUCCCCUCUUUGUACUUCAUUGAUUCAUCAGAUCUGGAUUCCAAGCAUAAGAUUUGAGCCCCUUUCUUGGUUUCCCGUUAAAGAACUCUCCAAGAAAUACAAUG